rnacentral:misc_RNA from 1 species
GAAAUGCGAUAAGUAAUGUGAAUUGCAGAAUUCAGUGAAUCAUCGAAUCUUUGAACGCACAUUGCGCCCCCUGGUAUUCCGGGGGGCAUGCCUGUUCGAGCGUCAUUUCACCACUCAAGCCUCGCUUGGUAUUGGGCGACGCGGUCCGCCGCGCGCCUGAAAUCGACCGGCUGGGUCUUCCGUCCCCUCAGCGUUGUGGAAACUAUUCGCUAAAGGGUGCCGCGGGAGGUCACGCCGCAAAACAACCCCAUUUCUAAGGUUGACCUCGGAUCAGGUAGGGAUACCCGCUGAACUUAAGC